UACGUAGGGGGCGAGCGUUGUCCGGAUUUAUUGGGCGUAAAGAGCGUGUAGGCGGCCAGGUAGGUCUGCUGUGAAAACUCGAGGCUCAACCUCGAGACGUCGGCGGAAACCAUCUGGCUAGAGUCCGGAAGAGGAGAGUGGAAUUCCUGGUGUAGCGGUGAAAUGCGCAGAUAUCAGGAAGAACACCCAUGGCGAAGGCGGCUCGCUGGGACGGUACUGACGCUGAGACGCGAAAGCGUGGGGAGCGAACAGG
rnacentral:rRNA from 1 species